UACGAAGGGGGCUAGCGUUGCUCGGAAUCACUGGGCGUAAAGGGUGCGUAGGCGGGUUCUUAAGUCAGAGGUGAAAUCCUGGAGCUCAACUCCAGAACUGCCUUUGAUACUGAGAGUCUUGAGUUCGGGAGAGGUGAGUGGAACUGCGAGUGUAGAGGUGAAAUUCGUAGAUAUUCGCAAGAACACCAGUGGCGAAGGCGGCUCACUGGCCCGUAUACUGACGCUGAGGCACGAAAGCGUGGGGAGCAAACAGG
rnacentral:rRNA from 1 species